rnacentral:rRNA from 1 species
AUACGGAGGGUGCGAGCGUUAAUCGGAAUUACUGGGCGUAAAGCGUACGUAGGCGGUUGGUUAAGUUAGAUGUGAAAGCCCCGGGCUUAACCUGGGAACUGCAUUUAAAACUGGCGAACUAGAGUUGAGUAGAGGGGAGUGGAAUUUCAGGUGUAGCGGUGAAAUGCGUAGAGAUCUGAAGGAACACCAGUGGCGAAGGCGACUCCCUGGACUCGAACUGACGCUGAGGUACGAAAGCGUGGGUAGCAAACGGGAUUAGAAACCCUGUAGUCC